CCUACGGGUAGCAGCAGUGAGGAAUAUUUGUCAAUGGGCGCGAGCCUGAACCCGCCCAGUAGCGUGAAGGAUGACUGCCCUACGGGUUGUCAACUUCUUUUAUCAAGGAAUAAAGUGAGGCACGUGUGCCUUUUUGUAUGUACUUUAUGAAUAAGGAUCGGCUAACUCCGUGCCAGCAGCCGCGGUAAUACGGAGAAUCCGAGCGUUAUCCGGAUUUAUUGGGUUUAAAGGGAGCGUAGAUGGGUUGUUAAGUCAGUUGUGAAAGUUUGCGGCUCAACCGUAAAAUUGCAAUUGACACUGGCAGUCUUGAGUACAGUUGAGGUAGGCGGAAUUCGUGGUGUAGUGGUGAAAUGCUUAGAUAUCACGAAGAACUCCGAUUGCGAAGGCAGCUUACUAAACUGCCACUGACAUUGAUGCUCGAAAGUGUGGGUAUCAAACAGGAUUAGAUACCCGUGUAGUC
rnacentral:rRNA from 1 species